rnacentral:misc_RNA from 1 species
AAGUCGUAACAAGGUUUCCGUAGGUGAACCUGCGGAAGGAUCAUUAGAGAUUUACACCGGCCUCGGUCGGAGGGCGUCGAGCUUGCUCCUCGCCCGUCACACACACACCUGUGAACGGAACGGACGCUCACGCGGCCGGACCUACUUAACAACUGUCGUCUACGUCAUGAAAGCAAAACAAAAGAAAAACAA